rnacentral:rRNA from 1 species
AGAGCGAACGCUGGCGGCAGGCCUAACACAUGCAAGUCGAACGGAUCCUUCGGGAUUAGUGGCGGACGGGUGAGUAACACGUGGGAACGUGCCUUUUGGUUCGGAACAACUCAGGGAAACUUGAGCUAAUACCGGAUGUGCCCUUCGGGGGAAAGAUUUAUCGCCAUUAGAGCGGCCCGCGUCUGAUUAGCUAGUUGGUAGGUAAGCCUACCAAGGCUACGAUCAGUAGCUGGUCUGAGAGGAUGAUCAGCCACAUUGGGACUGAGACACGGACCCAAACUCCUACGGGAGGCAGCAGUGGGGAAUCUUGCGCAAGUGGGACGAAAGCCUGACGCAGCCAUCGCCGCGUGAAUGAAUGGAAGUCUAGGAUUAGUAAAAUUCUUACGACCGGGAAGAUAAUGACGGUACCGGAGAAGACGCCCG